rnacentral:rRNA from 1 species
AUCCAGCCAUGCCGCGUGAGUGAUGAAGGCCUUAGGGUUGUAAAGCUCUUUCAGCGGGGAAGAUAAUGACGGUACCCGCAGAAGAAGCCCCGGCUAACUUCGUGCCAGCAGCCGCGGUAAUACGAAGGGGGCUAGCGUUGCUCGGAAUCACUGGGCGUAAAGCGCACGUAGGCGGAUCUUUAAGUCAGGGGUGAAAUCCUGGAGCUCAACUCCAGAACUGCCUUUGAUACUGGGGAUCUCGAGUCCGGGAGAGGUGAGUGGAACUGCGAGUGUAGAGGUGAAAUUCGUAGAUAUUCGCAAGAACACCAGUGGCGAAGGCGGCUCACUGGCCCGGUACUGACGCUGAGGUGCGAAAGCGUGGGGAGCAAACAGGAUUAGAUGCCCUGGUGGUCCACGCCGUAAACGAUGGAUGCUAGCCGUUGGCGGGUUUACUCGUCAGUGGCGCAGCUAACGCAUUAAGCAUCCCGCCUGGGGAGUACGGUCGCAAGAUUA